UACGUAGGGGGCAAGCGUUGUCCGGAUUUACUGGGCGUAAAGAGCGCGCAGGCGGUCAAAUAAGUCGGAUGUGAAAGCCCCCGGCUUAACUGGGGAGGGUCAUUCGAUACUGUUCGACUUGAAGGCAGGAGAGGGCAGCAGAAUUCCCGGUGUAGUGGUGAAAUGCGUAGAUAUCGGGAGGAAUACCAGUGGCGAAGGCGGCUGCCUGGCCUGUUCUUGACGCUGAGGCGCGAAAGCUGGGGGAGCAAACGGG
rnacentral:rRNA from 1 species